rnacentral:ncRNA from 2 species
CUCAUCACAAAGGGGAGCCGAUAUUGGCUGAGAGUGAUUAAAAUCAGACCCUUCAAACCUGUUCGAUAAUGCGAGUGUAGGGAUUGUGGUGGAGUAAUUU